GGAGUCUUGCUCUGUCCCUCAGGCUGGAGUGCAGUGGCGCCAUCUCAGCUGAAUGCAACCUCUGCCUCCUGGGUUCAAGAGAUUCUCCUGCCUCAGCCUCCCAAGUAGCUGGGAUUACAGAAAGCAAAAGAUUCUUCAAAAUCAAACUGUGUCCGGAAUUGGUGGCUUCUUGGUCUCACUGACUUCAAGAAUGAAGCCGCGGACCCUGGCGGUGAGUGUUACAGCUCUUAAGGUGGCGCGUCUGGAGUCUGUCCCUUCUGAUGUUCAGAUGUGUUCGGAGUUUCUUUCUUCUGGUGGGUUCGUGGUCUCGCUGGCUCAGGAGUGAAGCUGCAGAUCUUCAUGGUUGCUAGUAACACAAUAAUAAAGCUGCUUUAUUUUCCAGUGAAGAUGUAUGUGACAGGGAGUGGAGGAAGAAAAAGGCCAGAAAAUUCCGUAGUUAGCAAAUAUACCUUUCUUACUUAAAAUUCUUUUUCCAAUGUGAGCCUUCUAAAGAGUUACUGAGAAAUUAGGUGAGCUCACCUCAUUUAAUGCAAUAGAUAUGUUUCUGAAAAAUAAGCAAUACAUAGGACAUUGGCCAAUUAAGAAUUUUGAUGAAGAAGAAUUUUCACAUCCGAAAGAGUAAAAAUGAAAAACGGUACAAAUGUAGUGGCUUUUAAAUUUCAAAACAAAUUAUUUUGAUAAGAUAAAUAUUCCUCUCAUAAAGUGAAAAUGGAAGAGACUGCUUGCUGGGUGUUUGUCAAAAUGGAGUUAGAUGGUCUGUCCCAGACUCCCCUGUUGUUAGUUCUGAGAACAGAAGUAAUGGUGCUUCAUCAGGACUGGCUCAUAGAAACCUGCCGUGUUCAGCCCCCACAAUCCUCUCCCUUCUGCUGGCUGGAAACAAAUGACAACGAAGCCUCAUGUCUUGGAGAAACCACACUGCUGAGGAACUCAAGUCCUACAAGAACCAUUUGAAGAGACCCAUCUCACUAAAGAAAAUCACACAAGCAAGAAGUAAACUUCAUUGUAUCUAUGUAUUUAAUUGUCAUAACAGUCUACCUUAACUGAUAAAGCAAAAAUUCGCUCCUUUUCUGGACACCCAGUUUCAAAA
rnacentral:lncRNA from 1 species